GGCGAACGGGUGAGUAACACGUGGGUAAUCUGCCCUGCACUCUGGAUAAGCCUGGGAAACUGGGUCUAAUACUGGAUAUGACCUUUCUCCUUAUGGGGUUUGGUGGAAAGUUUUUCGGUGUAGGAUGAGCCCGCGGCCUAUCAGCUUGUUGGUGGGGUGAUGGCCUACCAAGGCGACGACGGGUAGCCGGCCUGAGAGGGUGAUCGGCCACAUUGGGACUGAGAUACGGCCCAG
rnacentral:rRNA from 1 species